rnacentral:ribozyme from 1 species
AUUAUUUAUUUUUUUAUUUUUCCUUUUUUUUGUAUAAUAAUAAUAAC